AAAUUAUUAGUUUUAUUAUACCCCCGCUUUAAAAAAGGGGGGGUAUACUGUUUUACCUCUGUCUGUCAGUCCGUCCGUCCGUCAGUCAGUCCGUCAGUCAGUCCGUCCCAUGAAACUUUCGUCACAUUUUUCUCAGGAACUACACAUCCACCCUUUCUGUAAUUUGGUAUCAACAUUUAUAUAUGUUAGCCAUACCGUGUGAUGCGUUUUCAGAUUCAUCACUUGACAACUUCCUGUUUACCGAACACUUGUAUGAUUUUACACAUGAUAGCCAAGUUGAAAAUUUUCGUCACAUUUUUCUCAGGAACUACACAUCCACCCUUUCUGUAAUUUGGUAUCAACAUUUAUAUAUGUUAGCCAUACCGUCUGAUGCGUUUUCAGAUUCAUCACUUGACAACUUCCUGUUUACCGAACACUUGUAUGAUUUUACACAUGAUAGCCAAGUUGAAAAUUUUCGUCACAUUUUUCUCAGCAACUACAAUACAAAGAUUUCUGAAAUUUGGUUUCAGGAUUUAUACAAGUCAGCUAUACCGUGUGAUGCGUUUUCAGAUUCAUCACUCGACAACUUCCUGUUUACCGAACACUUGUAUGAUUUUACACAUGAUAGCCAAGUUGAAAAUUUUCGUCACAUUUUUCUCAGAAACUACAAUACAAGGAUUUCUGAAAUUUGGUUUCAGGAUUUAUAUAAGUCAGCUAUACCGUGUGAUGCGUUUUCAGAUUCAUCACUCGACAACUUCCUGUUUACCGAACACUUGCAUAUUUUUACACUAUUAAUAUUAUCCACUUGCGGCGGGGGUAUCAUCAGUGAGCAGUAGCUCGCAGUUUCACUUGUUUUCAAUGUU
rnacentral:lncRNA from 1 species